UACGUAGGGGGCAAGCGUUGUCCGGAAUCAUUGGGCGUAAAGAGCGUGUAGGCGGCCAGAAAAGUCCGCUGUGAAAACUCGAGGCUCAACUUCGAGCUGUCGGUGGAAACUUUCUGGCUAGAGUCCGGAAGAGGAGAAUGGAAUUCCUGGUGUAGCGGUGAAAUGCGCAGAUAUCGGGAGGAACACCGGUGGCGAAGGCGGUUCUCUGGGCCUUACCUGACGCUGAGGAGCGAAAGCGUAGGGAGCGAACAGG
rnacentral:rRNA from 1 species